rnacentral:rRNA from 1 species
UACGUAGGGGGCAAGCGUUGUCCGGAUUUAUUGGGCGUAAAGAGCGUGUAGGCGGCCCUGUAAGUCCGCUGUGAAAGUCAAGGGCUCAACCCUUGAAUGCCGGUGGAUACUGCAGGGCUAGAGUCCGGAAGAGGCGAGUGGAAUUCCUGGUGUAGCGGUGAAAUGCGCAGAUAUCAGGAAGAACACCUAUGGCGAAGGCAGCUCUCUGGGACGGUACUGACGCUGAGACGCGAAAGCGUGGGGAGCGAACAGG